CACUCGCCACCCAGAGCCCCUUGCCCCUCCUACUGAUCAUGCCUGCAGGAUUGAAUCAAGGGAUCUUCCUGAGGGGCCUCCAAGUAGCCUCCUUUGGAGGGCCUUUAUGCCAUCAUUAGUGGCUAAGAAGUGAUGAGCUAAAGACUCUUCUGUCUGCUGACACUUUCCAGUGCAGGGCUGUGGCCAUGGAUGGAGGUGGCAGUGAGGUCUUUUUGCCUCACCUCUUGCCAUAUGACUGCUACUGAGCACUGCCAUGAAAAGUUGCAGGUGGUUCACCCGUGUCUCUGGGAAGAGAGCUGAGUUUUUUUUUUUUUUUGUCUGAACAGCCUGGCAAGAAGAGGUCUGGUACUCUGAGAAGCUCCCAUGCUUGGCAACACCUAGAGUUCUCCUGGAGCUCCCUGGGCUUAGGCAAUGCAAACUAAUUUAUUGAUCAGGCAUCUAUGGAAUAUAUAAGCCUUGCUAAUCUG